AUUGAACGCUGGCGGCAGGCCUAACACAUGCAAGUCGAGCGGAUGAAGGGAGCUUGCUCCUGGAUUCAGCGGCGGACGGGUGAGUAAUGCCUAGGAAUCUGCCUGGUAGUGGGGGAUAACGUCCGGAAACGGGCGCUAAUACCGCAUACGUCCUGGGGGAGAAAGUGGGGGAUCUUCGGACCUCACGCUAUCAGAUGAGCCUAGGUCGGAUUAGCUAGUUGGUGGGGUAAAGGCCUACCAAGGCGACGAUCCGUAACUGGUCUGAGAGGGUGAUCAGUCAAACUGGAAAUGGAAAACGGUCCCAAACCCCAAGGGGGGGCAGGGGGGGGAAAUUUUGGAAAUGGGGGAAAGCCUUACCCAGCACCGCCGGGGUGUGGAAAAAGGGCUUUGGGUGUGAAAAGCCUUUUAAUGGGGAAGGAGGGGCGGGAAGGUAAAUCUUCGCUUUUUGACGGUUCCCAACAAAAAAGGCACGGCUAACUUCGUG
rnacentral:rRNA from 1 species